rnacentral:pre_miRNA from 1 species
ACAGGGAUGCUGUGCAGUGUGGGGCAUUAGGCCUGGGACGAUUGGAAAGACUUGGUCUAUUUUCUCCGCUUAGUCUUCCCAACCCCUCCCAUGCCUAUAUUCCCCACUGCACAUCCCUGU